UUUUUUUUUUCAGCAAAAUGUUGUGAGCACCUACAGUGUGCCAGGCAGUGUUCUGAGAACUCGUUGUACGGGAGUGAAUGAGAUCACCUUAAUUUUGAGAAGUUUAUCAUCUACUCAAGGAAAACACGUGUAAUAAACUACAUUUCAGACAUAAUCCCUCAAAACCAAGUGGAACCUUUUCAAGGGGCUGGCAGAUGCAAGCCUGAGAUGCCCUGCCUGGCAAGGAGAGAGUCUAGUCACAGUCUCCCUGCAGAGGUGUUGCUGAGCUGCCUUGGGUUCCACCCAGCUGCUGUGUAAACUUCCUUGCGAUCUUGUUUACACAGAUUGAUUUCCUCACCUUCCUCUCCCAGCAACAGCCAUUAUCAAGAAUCUGGUAUGUAUUCCUUUAUAUCAUGUUUUUUUUACUCUUCCUACAUGUAUAUGUAUGCAAAAGAAUACAGAGUUAUGC